rnacentral:rRNA from 1 species
UGCAGUCGAACGAGAUUAAGGGGCUUGCUCCUUAUGAAAGUGGCGCACGGGUGCGUAACGCGUAUGCAACCUACCUUAAUCAGGGGGAUAGCCCGAAGAAAUUCGGAUUAAGACCGCAUAAAAACACAGGAUAGCAUUAUCCAAUGUUCAAAUAUUUAUAGGAUUAAGAUGGGCAUGCGUGUCAUUAGCUAGUUGGCGGGGUAACGGCCCACCAAGGCGACGAUGACUAGGGGAUCUGAGAGGAUGACCCCCCACACUGGUACUGAGACACGGACCAGACUCCUACGGGAGGCAGCAGUAAGGAAUAUUGGUCAAUGGAGGGAACUCUGAACCAGCCAUGCCGCGUGCAGGAAGACAGCCCUCUGGGUCGUAAACUGCUUUUAUUCGGGAAUAAACCUUAUUACGUGUAAUAAGCUGAAUGUACCGAAGGAAUAAGGAUCGGCUAACUCCGUGCCAGCAGCCGCGGUAAUACGGAGGAUCCAAGCGUUAUCCGGAUUUAUUGGGUUUAAAGGGUGCGUAGGCGGCUUAUUAAGUCAGGGGUGAAAGACGGUGGCUCAACCAUCGCAGUGCCCUUGAUACUGAUGAGCUUGAAUACACUAGAGGUAGGCGGAAUGUGACAAGUAGCGGUGAAAUGCAUAGAUAUGUCACAGAACACCGAUUGCGAAGGCAGCUUACUAUGGUGUGAUUGACGCUGAGGCACGAAAGCGUGGGGAUCAAACAGGAUUAGAUACCCUGGUAGUCCACGCCCUAAACGAUGAAUACUCGCUGUUAGCGAUAUACAGUUAGCGGCUAAGCGAAAGCGUUAAGU